AUUCGAUACACAUCGGCGAACUUACUUACGAGACGAGAUCCAAGAGAAUAAAAGUGGAUCGAUUAUAACCAGUGUUAAUUAGUGAAAUAUCCUGACUCAUUCCAUCUCACAUACAUUUAAAGACACUUGCAUCCUACAGGUUAUAAUUAAAUUCGUCUCACUGAAUUCACGUGGUCUCAAUGGUCGGACGUAUAAUAUUGUACUUCGGAAUGCAAGAGAUGUUUCUAUUCGGACGGCGUCGGGAAAGGUAAUACUGGGAGAGGAACAGGAAAAAAGGAAACGCGAGUUUCAUUCGAAAAACGUGUUCCAAAAAUGCAGCUGCCAUAAAAAAUGUCAGAGCAAGCGAUGCAAAAAUGUGGAAUUAAAAUUCUGGGAAUCGGAACAUCGGUGCUGCUGCUGCUGCUGCUGCUGCUGCUGCUGCGUAAUGCGUCGAAUUCGGAAAGGGAGCCAGUGUCGCGCUCGCGCAUCCGUGAAUUCGUUCGCAUGCCUCCCUCCGCUCGCGCCUCCACCCGCCGGCGUUGAUACAACGGUGCAAAGAUUAGAAGCGGUUCGUAAAACGCUUUGCGCGAAUGCGUUUCGGUAAUCAGGUUUCGAUUUGCCACACGAGCUUCGAUCCAUUGAACGAAAACGAUUAGGCGGUGCAACCACGCGUUUGUUACGCGCCAUAAAAUUAUUUUCUACUCUCGUCGGUGAGCGAGCGAUCUGGUAGUAGCACACAAACAACGACACUCGACGGUGUGCGAGUUUAGAUUCGAAGCUGGGAACACGAGUCGAAGUUGGCGGUGGAUAAAUUUAAAUGAUUCCGGCUGGAGUGGGCGAGAAAGUCGGCGGUAAGGAUCAAAAUAGUGGACAGUCGUGUUAGAGCAAUUCCGCGUUCCGAUCCUGAUUCGCGGUUCCGGCGGUUUCUCGAGACUCUGAACGCGAGGCAUUAUCUCCCUCGGGCCGAGACGCGCUGCUAACUUUCUUGCGAAAUUUUCUUACCGCCGCCGUCGGAAUACUAAAACGCCAAUUAAGAUUUCGCGGGAGAUACCUUUCUCGUUAAAGUACGUUGGUCAUCUAGCGACAGGUGUGAAUUCGUAUAGAACAUAACAGAUUCAGAUUUCAUUGAUUAAGCUUGCAGGCUGGACCAAAAUUUGACUGACAGAUCUUUCCACAGAUCAUAAAAACGAUGUUUCAGAUUGAAAUUACAUUCGCAUAAUUCGAUGUCCUCAGUACGCUCGAUGAAUUUCGAGGAUUGUCGAUUAACCAAUUAGUUCUAAAGACGAUAAAUAUUUGCGUCGGAGUGACAACGUUUUGGUCGUCGGCUGCUAGCAAUUACCCAGCAAUAUUUGCAUAGCUUUGCAAUGGCAAAGGCGAGCGACAGCCUCGUUCCUCUUUCAGCCGUCCGUAAUUUUCAGUAGAAAUUAUAGGAAAACAAACGCCGGUUGCGUCGAAAUCCAAUUACCACGUGUCUCACCCCACGCUAUCCACCUUUUCAGGUUCGUCCAUAAAUUGUCUCACGUUUCCCUUAUAUAAAAUUGUCGCAUCGUUCAUGAGAAACGAGAAGUCUAUCCGAAUAAUCCUGAUCGAUCUCGAGACCGUAAAUGAGAAAUACCGGCGUCGCGACGACCGCGCGACGUUCCUUUUUAAUAACGAAUCGGAAUCGUGGAAUUCGUCCCAGUAUGGGCAUCAUUUCUAAAUCGAUCCCGGCAAUUGCAUUCCGAUUGGAAUUGCCGGAGCGUCGCGCAUACCCGAGCCGACUCCCGGGACGGGUCCCGCGAGGUUCUCAGAAAUUUUUGAAUAUAAUCGUCGCGUAAUCGACGGAUCUCGAGCGCGUCGAGCGCUAAUUGCUCCGUAAUCUGCGUAGCCCGGCAUCCGCGCAUACUCUUGUAAAUUAAUUAAGACAAGACGUUCCCCAACUCCGCUCUUCAUCCCGCGCUACGUCAUUUGUCGUAUAUCUUCCUGUCGCCACUUUCAUUUUUUCUCCACUUCCAACUGCUACAAUUUGUUUGCCUUCUCUCGUAUAAUCUCCCAGUUACUCACGUUCUUAUCUUCAAACAACUUUUCUAAUGAUCUCGCAAACUUCUCUUCCUUCAGACUUUUUUAAACCCUUUACACUCUCACAAUUCUAUCGCCUUGUAGUUUCUCGCUCUCUUCUCAUUUCUUAAUAAACCUCGAGUUCUUCAAUCUAACUCCCGUACAUCUUCAAUUUCACAUUUCCAGAUGAAAUAACCACAUUUUUCUGAAACGGACGAUGUACCCGCGCUCCGCUCGUUUAUUAUUCAGUAAACAAUCCCACGUAUCAAUCCAACGAGUCGUUUCGCCGUUCUCAAUUGUUUCCUCCUUUCCCAGCGCGCUCUUUAUCGCGUCCGUCGCGUCGGUCCUAGCCUCCCGCAACUGGGACAGAAUUUAUGGGCAAAGUUCUCCGCGCACGUAGCUCGCUCGCCUCUCGAAAUAACGAUACAGUCCACGUUCGAAUAUUCUCGCCCGCCGCUCGAUACUCCGGCCCUCGGAGAAAUAUCUUCCUUUUUGCUUCCACCGGUCACUGUAUGCUGAUCCACUUCGACAUCGCGAAACUUCCGACGGUAUUUCUCACGGGACACCACGCGACGGCCCGAUGUCGUUGGUCAGCCGCGAACUUUCGUGGACACCUUCAGGUUCGCUUCGUCACGUACUCGCAAAUACAACGCGUUUCGCGAUCUCUAUAUUUUGUUCGUUCCACGAAAAUGAAAUUACAAGGGACUUUAAUUGAUCUAACGGAGUGCGCACUUGGACGGAAUAAAUUUCGACCCCAUAGAACGCGGACAAAGAAACGUCAAUGGAGAGAAGCGUUCGUACCGCUGUGGAUUUUCAAUUAAAAUUUCAUUCCGUUGCGGAAAGGAGCGAAAUGGACGGACGAAAAAAUGAAUUACGGCGGUCGCGCUGUGUGGGCUCGCGG